rnacentral:rRNA from 1 species
AUUGAACGCUGGCGGCAGGCCUAACACAUGCAAGUCGAGCGGUAGAGAGGUGCUUGCAUCUCUUGAGAGCGGCGGACGGGUGAGUAAUGCCUAGGAAUCUGCCUAGUGGUGGGGGAUAACGUUCGGAAACGGACGCUAAUACCGCAUACGUCCUACGGGAGAAAGCGGGGGAUCUUCGGACCUCGCGCCAUUAGAUGAGCCUAGGUCGGAUUAGCUAGUUGGUGAGGUAAUGGCUCACCAAGGCGACGAUCCGUAACUGGUCUGAGAGGAUGAUCAGUCACACUGGAACUGAGACACGGUCCAGACUCCUACGGGAGGCAGCAGUGGGGAAUAUUGGACAAUGGGCGAAAGCCUGAUCAGCCAUGCCGCGUGUGUG